GUUUACUGCUCCUUCACCAAUAACCUAAAGACAUGGAGCUGCUGUUUACCGCUCCUUCACCAAUAACCUAAAGACAUGGAGCUGCUGUUUACCGCUCCUUCACCAAUAACCUAAAGACAUGGAGCUGCUGUUUACCCCUCCUUCACCUUUUCAGAAAUGUUGAUUAAUGUGCACUGCUCCUGUAAAAAAAUAAAACUUAAUCAUAAUAAUGCCUGAAUAAUGUAUAGAAUAUCAAGGUUCAGAGUGAGGAUAACAUAGCAUCAUAUAGAGGACCAGUGUGUGUAUGUCAUGAUAAUCUCUGGUGGACAGACUACAUCAACAUAAAUGAUACCAUACAUCUGUCAUCAUACAACGGGAUGCGCGACAUAACGCGCUACUUCUGGAGCUUUGGACAGAUCACCAUUUCACAGGUGUUAGCAUCUUUGACUUCUCACAGGUGUUAGCAUCUUUGACUUCUCACAGGUGUUAGCAUCUUUGACUUCUUACAGGUGUUAGCAUCUUUGACUUCUCACAGGUGUUAGCAUCUUUGACUUCUCGCAGGUGUAAGCAUCUUUGACUUCUCACAGGUGUUAGCAUCUUUGACUUCUUACAGGUGUUAGCAUCUUUGACUUCUUACAGGUGUUAGCAUCUUUGACUUCUCGCAGGUGAUAGCAUCUUUGACUUCUCGCAGGUGUUAGCAUCUUUGACUUCUCGCAGGUUUUAGCAUCUUUGACUUUUCGCAGGUUUUAGCAUCUUUGACUUCUCGCAGGUGUAAGCAUCUUUGACUUCUUGCAGGUGUUAGCAUCUUUGACUUCUCACAGGUGAUAGCAUCUUUGACUUCUCACAGGUGAUAGCAUCUUUGACUUCUCGCAGGUGUUAGCAUCUUUGACUUCUCACAGGUGUUAGCAUCUUUGACUUCUCGCAGGUGUUAGCAUCUUUCACAUUUCACAGGUGUUAGCAUCUUUCACAUUUCACAAGUGUUAGCAUCUUUCACAUUUCACAGGUGUUAGCAUCUUUCACAUUUCACAAGGGAAGGGGACAUUUGGUCCAUAGUCUCGCCCGUAACUUGCAAAGAGAGGGUGGAGCUCUUCGUUCCGGUUCCAAUCCUCAUUCUAUCUUUUCUCUUGAAGUCCCCAUGCAGUUGUUGCAAUGAGAGGGUGGAACUCUUCGUUCCGGUUCAUUCUAUCUCUUCUCUUAAAGCCCCUCUUCAUUCCAGUUCAUUCUAUCUCUUCUCUUAAAGCCACUCUUCGUUCCGGUUCAUUCUAUCUAUCUAUCAGUUUUUUUAAAAUUGUAUUUUUAAAUCAUCAUCAUUGUAUGUCUAAUUAAAUCACUGUUUAUUUCAUUAAAAUAA